AUUGAACGCUGGCGGCAGGCCUAACACAUGCAAGUCGAACGGUAACAGGAAGCAGCUUGCUGCUUCGCUGACGAGUGGCGGACGGGUGGGUAAUGUCUGGGAAACUGCCUGAUGGAGGGGGAUAACUACUGGAAACGGUAGCUAAUACCGCAUAACGUCGCAAGACCAAAGAGGGGGACCUUAGGGCCUCUUGCCAUCGGAUGUGCCCAGAUGGGAUUAGCUAGUAGGUGGGGUAACGGCUCACCUAGGCGACGAUCCCUAGCUGGUCUGAGAGGAUGACCAGCCACACUGGAACUGAGAUACGGUCCAGACUCCUACGGGAGGCAGCAGUGGGGAAUAUUGCACAAUGGGCGCAAGCCUGAUGCAGCCAUGCCGCGUGUAUGAAGAAGGCCUUCGGGUUGUAAAGUACUUUCAGCGGGGAGGAAGGGAGUAAAGUUAAUACCUUUGCUCAUUGACGUUACCCGCAGAAGAAGCACCGGCUAACUCCGUG
rnacentral:rRNA from 1 species